rnacentral:rRNA from 1 species
GUCUCAAGCGUUGUUCGGAUUCAUUGGGCGUAAAGGGUGUGUAGGUGGCGCGCUAAGUCGGGUGUGAAAUUUCGGAGCUUAACUCCGAAACUGCAUUCGAUACUGGCGUGCUUGAGGACUGGAGAGGAGACUGGAAUUUACGGUGUAGCAGUGAAAUGCGUAGAUAUCGUAAGGAAGACCAGUGGCGAAGGCGGGUCUCUGGACAGUUCCUGACACUGAGACACGAAGGCCAGGGGAGCAAACGGG